AUGCCGGACCUGCCGUGCGACGGGGACGGGGUGUGCAUGGUGUGCCGGGCCGCGGCGCCGCCGGAGGUCGAGCUGCUGCGGUGCGCCACCUGCGCCACGCCCUGGCACUCGCCCUGCCUCUCCAAGCCGCCCGCGCUCGCCGACGCCGCCGCCUGGGCCUGCCCCGACUGCUCCGGCGAGGACGCCUCCCCCUCAGCGGCCCCCGCCCCCGCCCCCACCGCCGCGCCCGGGGGCGCCGGCGGGGGGUCCGGCCUCCUCGCCGCCAUCCGCGAGAUCGAGGCGGACGCCUCCCUCACCGAGCAGGAGAAGGCCAAGCGCCGCCAGGAGCUGCUCGGCGGCAAGACCGCCGUCGCCGGCGAUGACGACGAGGAUGAGGAGGAGCAGGACGAGGACAACGCGCUCGAGAUCGUCGGCAAGAACUUCAGCUGCGUCUUCUGCAUGAAGCUCCCCGAGCGCCCCGUCACCACACCGUGUGGCCACAACUUCUGUUUGAAAUGCUUUGAGAAGUGGGUUAACAGUGGAAAAAGGACCUGUGGAAAAUGCCGGGGACCAAUCCCAUCCAAAAUGGCUUCGCAGCCAAGGAUUAAUGCAGCGUUGGUUGCGGUUAUCCGUAUGGCUAGGACUGCAAAGAAUGCUAGUGCAGGUGGCUCUGGAAAUCCUGUUCAUUACAUAAGAAAUGAGGCUAGACCCGACAAGGCUUUCACAACUGACAGAGCAAAGAAGGCUGGGAAAGCUAAUGCUUCAAGUGGCCAGAUCUUUGUGACCAUUGCACCUGAUCAUUUUGGCCCCAUUCCAGCAGAAAACGACCCCAAAAGGCGUCUUGGUGUGUUAGUCGGGGAAACCUGGGAAGACCGCCUUGAGUGCAGGCAGUGGGGUGCUCAUUUCCCUCAUGUUGCUGGUAUUGCUGGCCAGUCAGAACAUGGUGCCCAGUCAGUGGCGCUGUCAGGUGGUUACAUAGAUGAUGAGGACCAUGGGGAGUGGUUCCUGUAUACUGGAAGUGGUGGAAGAGACCUAAGUGGGAACAAGCGAACAAACAAGGAGCAAUCUUCUGAUCAGAAAUUUGACAAGAUGAAUGCUGCUCUGCGUCUUAGUUGCAAGAAGGGUUACCCUGUCAGGGUUGUGCGGUCCCACAAAGAGAAGCGUUCUUCAUAUGCUCCUGAAACUGGUGUGCGUUAUGAUGGAGUCUACAGGAUUGAGAAAUGCUGGAGGAAGAUUGGUGUUCAGGGUACAUACAAGGUCUGCAGGUACCUCUUUGUACGAUGCGACAAUGAACCAGCUCCAUGGACCAGUGAUCUUCAUGGUGACCGGCCAAGGCCACUGCCCAGGAUUAAGGAGCUGCAAGGUGCUACUGACAUCACUGAACGGGCAGGAUCCCCCUCCUGGGACUAUGUUGAAAAUGAAGGCUGGAAGUGGGUGAAGCCUCCACCAAUCAGCAAGAAGCCCGCCCAGUCAGGCGAUCCUGAAACUGACAAGCAAUUCAGGAAAUACCAGAAGCGUGCUCAUAUGUCUAUGAAUGAGAGGCUGUUGAAGGAGUUUGGCUGCUCCAUUUGCAAGAAUUUGAUGAAGGAACCACUUACUACUCCCUGUGGUCAUAACUUCUGCAAAGCUUGUUUGACCGCUGCAUUUGGUGACGAGGGUUCUAUGAGGGAAAGAAGCAGGGGCGGGCGCACUCUGCGGGCACAGAAGAUUGUGAAGAACUGCCCCUCCUGCCCAACUGAUAUUUGCGACUUCCUGGAGAACCCACAGAUUAACAUAGAGAUGAAGGAUCUGAUUGACAAUCUGCUUGCCAAGGCUGCCAAGGAGAAGCCAGACGCGGAGGGAUCUGCUGAGGAAAAUGAUGAUGAUGAGGAUGCUCUGGAGAAGGAAGAGGAGGAUGACAGCAGCCUGAACGAGGAAGAGAAUGAUGAUGGUGCUGAGAACAAGGCUGGAGAAGAGGAUGCUGUCGUCACAAUCGUGGUUGAGGCCAAGGAUGAGCUGAAGAAGCCUCUGAGGCGCAAGGGAGCUGAGGAGGAGGCCAAAGAUGAGAAGAAGAUCAAGACCACUGCUGGUGCUCCUGAUGUGGAAAAUGCAGCUGAAGAAGACGCCGAGAUGGUUGAAAAGGAGGAAGAAGAAGGUUCCCAGAAGGCUCAGAAGAAGCGCAAGGGGCGUGCUGGGACCGCAGCUGGCGGCGGUAAGAGGAAGAGGGCCAGCCCUGCUGCUGCUGAAGAGAAGGCCGCCGCAGCUGGUGGCGGUAAGAGGAAGAAGGCAAGCCCUGCUGCAGCUGAAGAGACCCCUGCUGCUGCAAGCACCCCUCGCCGGGCGACCAGGAGUGGCGGUGUGGUGGUGGCUGGUGGGAGCCCUGCUUCCAGGACCAGGAGCAACACCAAGGCCGACAACUGA
rnacentral:rRNA from 1 species